rnacentral:lncRNA from 1 species
CAUCGUUCACAACACCUACAGGUUAUGAACCUGCUAGCGUUCCACUGGACUGUCUAGAAAGAGUCCGUGGUCGUUAUCCAUACUCCGCUGAAUAACUAGAUCAACAACAACAACAACAUCGAGGCCUCUCAUCUGUUUAUUACACACCAACUAUCUACCCAUGUUCUACCCAACAUAUUAGUAGAUAAAAAUAUANAGCCCGAAUCAUGGCUUGCACCGCAGCCAUUGUUAUUGGUUCUGGUGCUGCUGCUACAACAGGUAUUUGCUCAAUCACUGGCGGUUGAUUCCUGUUUUCAUCUGCGUUUCCAACGCCACUCCUUGUUCUCACCAUUUUUGAUCUACACACCGAAUAAUUUCACCUUAUUACUCCAAACGAUUACAUGCUAGUUCUAAUAUCGUAUACAUACGCUUAGAAUCCUAAACACAUAAACCUUCAGAUCCGGUUGGCAACAAACCGUAGAUCCGAACAAAUAAUAUCAUAUAUGGCAACAUAUAACAUUUAGCACAUAAAAGCAUUUUAGGCAACUUUCCUAAAAUAAACUAGUGCUCGUGUCUAAAAUCCAACAGACACACAUCUCAAAAUUCCACUUAGCAUUCUAAGUUUAAGUCUAGAAAUCCUACAAAUUCCUAGUUCGCUUAAACUAAUGCUCUGAUACCAACUGUGACAUCCCCAAAAUCUCGGCCAGAAAAGACCGAUUUUCAUUUAUGCUUUUAAAUAAUUUCAGAGUAAAUCCUUUUGAUUUGAAAGAGUUGCGGAAUUUGUUCCCAAAACAAAACAUGAUAAAAUAAUAUUUAUCAAAGCAUUUCAUCAAGAGAUGCAUUUCAUUAUAUAAUCAAAACUCGGGAUGUCAUGUUCCGAUACAGACCAUAAAGCAUAAACGAUAAACAUUACAAGUCAUUCAACAAAUAUAUACAUAUACAGACUUGUAAACAAAACAACAAGAUGAUCCAUCCAUCUUACGCCCUUGUGCCACUUCCUGUAAUACAAAUAAAACUGAGUGGGUCAGGCUUGGGAGCCUGGUGAGCAUAUAGGGUUUUCAACCCACAAUAAAUUAAUUAUAUUUAAUUUCACCAACCAAUCACUAUCCCGAUUACCCAUUCCCGUUAUCCUCACUUUACGUCCCUAAAACAACAUCUAUCUCAAGGGACCUAAUCUAGGAUUUUCAUCGGGACGGACAUCACUGCUAAGGGGUUUCCUCAACAAUAGAUAUCCUAAAGGCAACCAUGAGGGGGAUAGAGUACACCGGUGAACACAUCGUUCACAACACCUACAGGUUAUGAACCUACUAGUGUUCCACAAGACUGUCUAGAAAGAGUCUGUGGUCGUUAUCUAUACUCCGAUGAAUAACUAGAUCAACAACAACAACAACAUCGAGGCUUCUCAUCUGUUUAUUACACACCAACUAUCUACCCAUGUUCUACCAAACAUAUUAGUAGAUAAAAAUAUAUAUUCUCAUACAUAGUUUAAAACCUGUAUAUCAUUUUCAUUCAAUACAUAUUCCACAUAACAGAUGAGGCACACCCACAUAACACGUAUUUCAUAGAAAAUAAAUCAGAUCUAUGAGAUAGAAGAGAGUGAAUAUACAUUCACAC